rnacentral:rRNA from 1 species
UACGAAGGGGGCUAGCGUUGCUCGGAAUCACUGGGCGUAAAGGGUGCGUAGGCGGGUCUUUAAGUCAGGGUGAAAUCCUGGAGCUCAACUCCAGAACUGCCUUUGAUACUGAAGAUCUUGAGUUCGGGAGAGGUGAGUGGAACUGCGAGUGUAGAGGUGAAAUUCGUAGAUAUUCGCAAGAACACCAGUGGCGAAGGCGGCUCACUGGCCCGAUACUGACGCUGAUGUGCGAAAGCGUGGGAGCAAACAGG